UAAAAAAAGGUAAGCUACUAAGAGCGAAUGGUGGAUGCCUUGACUGGUAAAGGCGAUGAAGGACGUACUAGACUGCGAUAAGCUACGGGGAGCUGUCAAGAAGCUUUGAUCCGUAGAUUUCCGAAUGGGGCAACCCAAUGUAUAGAGAUAUACAUUACCUAUAUAGGAGCGAACGAGGGGAAUUGAAACAUCUUAGUACCCUCAGGAAAAGAAAUCAAUAGAGAUUGCGUCAGUAGCGGCGAGCGAAAGCGCAAGAGGGCAAACCCAGUGCUUGCACUGGGGGUUGUAGGACUGCAAUGUGCAAGAGCUGAGUUUAGCAGAACAUUCUGGAAAGUAUAGCCAUAGAGGGUGAUAGUCCCGUAUGCGAAAAACAAAGCUUAGCUAGCAGUAUCCUGAGUAGGGCGGGACACGAGGAAUCCUGUCUGAAUCCGGGUCGACCACGAUCCAACCCUAAAUACUAAUACCAGAUCGAUAGUGCACAAGUACCGUGAGGGAAAGGUGAAAAGAACUGAGGUGAUCAGAGUGAAAUAGAACCUGAAACCAUUUGCUUACAAUCAUUCAGAGCACUAUGUAGCAAUACAGUGUGAUGGACUGCCUUUUGCAUAAUGAGCCUGCGAGUUGUGGUGUCUGGCAAGGUUAAGCAAACGCGAAGCCGUAGCGAAAGCGAGUCUGAAUAGGGCGCUUAGUCAGAUGCUGCAGACCCGAAACGAAGUGAUCUAUCCAUGAGCAAGUUGAAGCUAGUGUAAGAACUAGUGGAGGACUGAACCCAUAGGCGUUGAAAAGCCCCGGGAUGACUUGUGGAUAGGGGUGAAAGGCCAAUCAAACUUCGUGAUAGCUGGUUCUCUCCGAAAUAUAUUUAGGUAUAGCGUUGUGUCGUAAUAUAAGGGGGUAGAGCACUGAAUGGGCUAGGGCAUACACCAAUGUACCAAACCCUAUCAAACUCCGAAUACCUUAUAUGUAAUCACAGCAGUCAGGCGGCGAGUGAUAAAAUCCGUCGUCAAGAGGGAAACAACCCAGACUACCAGCUAAGGUCCCUAAAUCUUACUUAAGUGGAAAACGAUGUGAAGUUACUUAAACAACCAGGAGGUUGGCUUAGAAGCAGCCAUCCUUUAAAGAAAGCGUAAUAGCUCACUGGUCUAGUGAUUUUGCGCGGAAAAUAUAACGGGGCUAAAGUAAGUACCGAAGCUGUAGACUUAGUUUGCUAAGUGGUAGGAGAGCGUUCUAUUUGCGUCGAAGGUAUACCGGUAAGGAGUGCUGGAGCGAAUAGAAGUGAGCAUGCAGGCAUGAGUAGCGAUAAUUAAUGUGAGAAUCAUUAACGCCGUAAACCCAAGGUUUCCUACGCGAUGCUCGUCAUCGUAGGGUUAGUCGGGUCCUAAGUCGAGUCCGAAAGGGGUAGACGAUGGCAAAUUGGUUAAUAUUCCAAUACCAACAUUAGUGUGCGAUGGAAGGACGCUUAGGGCUAAGGGGGCUAGCGGAUGGAAGUGCUAGUCUAAGGUCGUAGGAGGUUAUACAGGAAAAUCCGUAUAACAAUACUCCGAGAACUGAAAGGCUUUUUGAAGUCUUCGGAUGGAUAGAAGAACCCCUGAUGCCGUCGAGCCAAGAAAAGUUUCUAAGUUUAGCUAAUGUUGCCCGUACCGUAAACCGACACAGGUGGGUGGGAUGAGUAUUCUAAGGCGCGUGGAAGAACUCUCUUUAAGGAACUCUGCAAAAUAGCACCGUAUCUUCGGUAUAAGGUGUGGUUAGCUUCGUACUAGGAUUUACUCCGAAAGCGAAGAAACUUACAACAAAGAGUCCCUCCCGACUGUUUACCAAAAACACAGCACUCUGCUAACUCGUAAGAGGAUGUAUAGGGUGUGACGCCUGCCCGGUGCUCGAAGGUUAAUUGAUGGGGUUAGCAUUAGCGAAGCUCUUGAUCGAAGCCCGAGUAAACGGCGGCCGUAACUAUAACGGUCCUAAGGUAGCGAAAUUCCUUGUCGGUUAAAUACCGACCUGCAUGAAUGGCGUAACGAGAUGGGAGCUGUCUCAAAGAGGGAUCCAGUGAAAUUGUAGUGGAGGUGAAAAUUCCUCCUACCCGCGGCAAGACGGAAAGACCCCGUGGACCUUUACUACAGCUUGACACUGCUACUUGGAUAAGAAUGUGCAGGAUAGGUGGGAGGCUUUGAGUAUAUGACGCCAGUUGUAUAGGAGCCAUUGUUGAGAUACCACUCUUUCUUAUUUGGGUAGCUAACCAGCUUGAGUUAUCCUCAAGUGGGACAAUGUCUGGUGGGUAGUUUGACUGGGGCGGUCGCCUCCCAAAUAAUAACGGAGGCUUACAAAGGUUGGCUCAGAACGGUUGGAAAUCGUUCGUAGAGUAUAAAGGUAUAAGCCAGCUUAACUGCAAGACAUACAAGUCAAGCAGAGACGAAAGUCGGUCUUAGUGAUCCGGUGGUUCUGUGUGGAAGGGCCAUCGCUCAAAGGAUAAAAGGUACCCCGGGGAUAACAGGCUGAUCUCCCCCAAGAGCUCACAUCGACGGGGAGGUUUGGCACCUCGAUGUCGGCUCAUCGCAUCCUGGGGCUGGAGCAGGUCCCAAGGGUAUGGCUGUUCGCCAUUUAAAGCGGUACGCGAGCUGGGUUCAGAACGUCGUGAGACAGUUCGGUCCCUAUCUGCCGUGGGCGUAAGAAGAUUGAAGAGAUUUGACCCUAGUACGAGAGGACCGGGUUGAACAAACCACUGGUGUAGCUGUUGUUCUGCCAAGAGCAUCGCAGCGUAGCUAAGUUUGGAAAGGAUAAACGCUGAAAGCAUCUAAGCGUGAAGCCAACUCUAAGAUGAAUCUUCUCUAAGCUCUCUAGAAGACUACUAGUUUGAUAGGCUGGGUGUGUAAUGGAUGAAAGUCCUUUAGCUGACCAGUACUAAUAGAGCGUUUGGCUUAUCUUUAAUAAAGCAU
rnacentral:rRNA from 1 species